rnacentral:rRNA from 1 species
UACGUAGGGCGCAAGCGUUAUCCGGAAUUCUUGGGCGUAAAGAGCUCGUAGGCGGUUUGUCGCGUCUGCCGUGAAAGUCCGGGGCUCAACUCCGGAUCUGCGGUGGGUACGGGCAGACUAGAGUGAUGUAGGGGAGACUGGAAUUCCUGGUGUAGCGGUGAAAUGCGCAGAUAUCAGGAGGAACACCGAUGGCGAAGGCAGGUCUCUGGGCAUUAACUGACGCUGAGGAGCGAAAGCAUGGGGAGCAAACAGG